rnacentral:rRNA from 1 species
UACGUAGGGGCAAGCGUUAUCCGGAAUCAUUGGGCGUAAAGCGCGUGUAGGCGGUCCAGUAAGUCCGCUCUGAAAGCCCAGGGCUCAACCUCGAGACGUCGGCGGAAACCAUCCAGCUAGAGUCCGGAAGAGGAGAGUGGAAUUCCUGGUGUAGCGGUGAAAUGCGCAGAUAUCAGGAAGAACACCCGUGGCGAAAGCGGCUCUCUGGGAACGGUACUGACGCUGAGACGCGAAAGCGUGGGGAGCGAACAGG